rnacentral:rRNA from 1 species
GAGUGCGGAACUCGUGGCUAACAACUUACUAACCUGCCCUUAACUCUGGGAUAAGCCUUGGAAACGGGGUCUAAUACUGGAUAUUGACUUUACCUCGCAUGGGGUUUGGUUGAAAGAUUUAUUGGUUUUGGAUGGACUCGCGGCCUAUCAGCUUGUUGGUGAGGUAAUGGCUCACCAAGGCGACGACGGGUAGCCGGCCUGAGAGGGUGACCGGCCACACUGGGACUGAGACACGGCCCAGACUCCUACGGGAGGCAGCAGUGGGGAAUAUUGCACAAUGGGCGAAAGCCUGAUGCAGCGACGCCGCGUGAGGGAUGACGGCCUUCGGGUUGUAAACCUCUUUCAGUAGGGAACAAGGCCAGUGUUUAGCUGGUUGAGGGUACUUGCAGAAGAAGCGCCGGCUAACUACGUGCCAGCAGCCGCGGUAAUACGUAGGGCGCAAGCGUUAUCCGGAAUUAUUGGGCGUAAAGAGCUCGUAGGCGGGUUUGUCGCGUCUGCCGUGAAAGUCCGGGGGCUCAACCCCGGAUCUGCGGUGGGUACGGGCAGACUGAGAGUGAUGUUAGGGAAGACUGGAAAUUCCUUGGUGUUAAGCGGUGAA